CUAAGCUUGUAGGAUGGCCACAUGGAAAAAUCCACUGAAUGUGGAGUCACAGCAUCUGUGUUCAAAUCCCAGUUCUGCUAAUUUCUACCUACAUUACCUUGCACCAGUCAACGAUCUUCUCCCUACUUCAGUUUCAGAACCCAUUUAUUAUAUCUAUGGCAAAAGACAAAGAAGGAAACCAAAGUCUAAGGAAAAGGCUUUGUCCAUAAGCUCCCCCUCUCCACAAUCAAAUCUUUUGGAAGUGCCUCCGGUUAACACUGCACCAGACAGAAUGCGUUUGAGCUAUGAAGAUAUGGAGGAAGUUGGAAAACGAUACAGGGAAAUGAGACGACAAAAUAAG